CAGCCGCCGCGGUAAUACCGGCUGCUCGAGUGAUGGCCACUAUUACUGGGUUUAAAGCGUCCGUAGCUUGAUUUUUAGGUCUCUUGGGAAAUCUUUUGGCUUAACCACAAGGCGUCUAAGAGAUACCGGAAAUCUUGGAACUGGGAGAGGUAAGCCGUACUUCGGGGGUAGGAGUGAAAUCUUGUAAUCCUCGAGGGACGACCUAUGGCGAAGGCAGCUUACCAGAACAGCUUCGACAGUGAGGGACGAAAGCUGGGGGAGCAAACGGGAUUAGAUACCCCGGUAGUCCCAGCCGUAAACAAUGUGCGUUAGGUGUGUCGGUUACCACGCGUAACUGAUGCGCCGAAGAGAAAUCGUGAAACGCACCACCUGGGAAGUACGGUCGCAAGGCUGAAACUUAAAGGAAUUGGCGGGGGAGCACCACAACAGGUGGAGCCUGCGGUUUAAUUGGAUUCAACGCCGGACAUCUCACCGGAUAAGACAGCUGAAUGAUUGUCAAUCUGAAGGUUUUACAUGACUAGCUGAGAGGGGGUGCAUGGCC
rnacentral:rRNA from 1 species